GUCUGUCUGCACGUCGAAGUAGCCCAGCUUCUGGUACCGCCCCUCAAUCAUCUGCUCCACUUGGGUCCACGCAAUGCGGUCGCCAUCGUUGCUGAAUGCCACUCGACCCUGCGGCAAGUGAGGGCAGGAGAGGCUCGAGACACUCACUGAGACUCCAAGGAACUGUGUGGCAUUCAUGGCCUUGUACAACUCGUCUGCAAUCUCCUUGUUGGUGUAGGUGAACUCCUCAAUGGACCUGUUCACCACUGCCAGAGUCUCCAUCGUCUUGUUGAGGGCCAGCGCCACACUCCACACUGCGUCAUAGGCUAAGGGCGCUUCCUGCAGGAGGGACGGAAGUGAAGAGAGCAACACGGAAAACGCCGCCCACUGAUGUUGACACCUGUGCACUUCCCACCUCACCUGCCGCGCCGCCCUCACCUGCCGUGCCGCCCUCACCUGUCCUCGUCAAGUCACGCAGGGCAAGUAAUGGCGAGAACAGUGAAGGCGGCCAUAAUUCCUCAAUCUCUCCUCGUCACAUGCCGGACGAGCAACAAAUGGUGAGGCAGAAGACAAAAUAUUGGCCGAUCAAUUCACUCAGUCCCGAGAGCCACUUACAUUUUCAUCUAGUCUUCCAUAAAGUUGCUCCGUUUUCUUUGAUCAUCCACAAGAAAAUUACUUAAGCAUGAACAAUUAUAUUUAUAGACUCAUUCAGUUCAAGGUGUGCGGGUAAUGAUAAGGUGGAAGGUAUGAAGUAUUAGUCUGUAAAUGUAACAGUCCACUCUUUAAUUUAGUGUUUAAUUUCAAGGUAAAAAGAAAACGGGCCAAUUUUCAGGGUAAACUGUAUCAGAGGAAAUUUUCAUACGUGGUGUACGUGGAGUGUAUAAAUGAUUAAGUUAUUGGUUUAUUUGUAUAAUAGGGAAGCCUCGGGUGGGCAUUAAGAUGUAUGAAAUUUGACAGUAACUGAAUACAUUACCCUAAUCUCAUGUUU